rnacentral:lncRNA from 1 species
AUGCUUAGCCUCGUCCACCCCAGCUGUAAAACUCAGAAACCAGUCUUACUUGUUAUCAUCUAUCGUCCACCUGGGCCUUACACAGAGUUUCUCUCUGAUUUCUCAGACUUUUUAUCUGAUUUAGUGCUCAGCUCAGAUAAAAUAAUUAUUGUGGGUGAUUUUAACAUCCAUGUAGAUGCUAAAAAUGACAGCCUCAACAUGGCAUUUAAUCUGUUAUUAGACUCAGUUGGCUUCUCUCAAAAUGUAAAAGAACCCACCCACCACUUUAAUCACACUCUAGAUCUUGUUUUAACAUAUGGCAUAGAAACUGAACAUUUAACAGUGUUUCCUGAAAACCCUCUGCUGUCUGAUCAUUUCCUGAUAACAUUUACAUUUACAAUAAUUGAUUACACAGCAGUGGAGAGUAGACUUUAUCACAGUAGAUGUCUUUCUGAAAGCGCUGUAACUAAGUUUAAGAAUAUAAUCCACCCACUGUUAUCAUCUUCAAUGCCCUGUACCAACAUAGAGCAGAGCAGCUAUCUGAACGCUACUCCAACAAAGGUCGAUUAUCUUGUUAAUAAUUUUACCUUCUCACUACGUACGACUCUGGAUACUGUAGCUCCUGUGAAAACUAAGGCCUCAAAUCAGAAGUACCUGACUCCGUGGUAUAAUUCUCAAACACGUAGCCUAAAGCAGAUAACUCGUAAGCUGGAGAGGAAAUGGCGUGUCACAAAUUUAGAGGAUCAUCAUUUAGCCUGGAGAAAUAGUUUGUUGCUUUAUAAGAAAGCCCUCCGCAAAGCCAGAACAUCUUACUAUUCGUCACUGAUUGAAGAAAAUAAGAACAACCCCAGGUUUCUCUUCAGCACUGUAGCCAGGCUGACAAACAGUCAGAGCUCUACUGAGCCAACAAUCCCUUUAACGUUAACUAGUAAUGACUUCAUGAACUUCUUCACAAAUAAAAUUUUUAUCAUUAGAGAAAAAAUUACCAAUAAUCAUCCCACAGAUGUAAUAUUAUCUACAGCUACUUUUAGUACCAUCGAUGUUAAGUUAGACUCUUUUUCUCCAAUUGAUCUUUCUGAGUUAACUUCAAUAAUUACUUCCUCCAAACCAUCAACGUGUCUUUUAGACCCCAUUCCUACAAAACUGCUCAAAGAAGUCCUGCCAUUAAUUAAUGCUUAUAUCUUAAAUAUGAUCAACCUAUCUCUAAUAAUCGGCUAUGUACCACAGGCCUUCAAGGUGGCUGUAGUUAAACCUUUACUUAAAAAGCAUCUCUAG